GGGGCCCGCACAAGCGGCGGAGCAUGCGGAUUAAUUCGAUGCAACGCGAAGAACCUUACCAAGGCUUGACAUACACCGGUAACGCCCAGAGAUGGGUGCCCCUUUGUGGUCGGUGUACAGGUGGUGCAUGGUUGUCGUCAGCUCGUGUCGUGAGAUGUUGGGUUAAGUCCCGCAACGAGCGCAACCCUCGUCCUAUGUUGCCAGCGGGUCAUGCCGGGGACUCAUGGGAGACUGCCGGGGUCAACUCGGAGGAAGGUGGGGAUGACGUCAAAUCAUCAUGCCCCUUAUGUCUUGGGCUUCACGCAUGCUACAAUGGCCGGUACAAAGGGCUGCGAUACCGCGAGGUGGAGCGAAUCCCAGAAAGCCGGUCUCAGUUCGGAUUGGGGUCUGCAACUCGACCCCAUGAAGUCGGAGUCGCUAGUAACCGCAGAUCAGCAACGCUGCGGUGAAUACGUUCCCGGGCCUU
rnacentral:rRNA from 1 species